GACGAACGCUGGCGGCGUGCUUAACACAUGCAAGUCGAACGGAAAGGCCCUGCUUUUGUGGGGUGCUCGAGUGGCGAACGGGUGAGUAACACGUGAGUAACCUGCCCUUUACUUUGGGAUAACUUCAGGAAACUGGGGCUAAUACCGGAUAGGAGCUCCUGCUGCAUGGUGGGGGUUGGAAAGUUUCGGCGGUUGGGGAUGGACUCGCGGCUUAUCAGCUUGUUGGUGGGGUAGUGGCUUACCAAGGCUUUGACGGGUAGCCGGCCUGAGAGGGUGACCGGCCACAAUGGGACUGAGAUACGGCCCAGACUCCUACGGGAGGCAGCAGUGGGGAAUAUUGCACAAUGGGCGGAAGCCUGAUGCAGCAACGCCGCGUGCGGGAUGACGGCCUUCGGGUUGUAAACCGCUUUCGCCUGUGACGAAGCGUGAGUGACGGUAAUGGGUAAAGAAGCACCGGCUAACUACGUG
rnacentral:rRNA from 1 species